rnacentral:rRNA from 15 species
GAAUGCUGACAUAAGUAACGAUAAAGCGGGUGAAAAGCCCGCUCGCCGGAAGACCAAGGGUUCCUGUCCAACGUUAAUCGGGGCAGGGUGAGUCGACCCCUAAGGCGAGGCCGAAAGGCGUAGUCGAUGGGAAACGGGUUAAUAUUCCCGUACUUGGUGUUACUGCGAAGGGGGGACGGAGAAGGCUAUGUUGGCCGGGCGACGGUUGUCCCGGUUUAAGCGUGUAGGUGUGUGUUCCAGGUAAAUCCGGUUCACUUUAACACUGAGGCGUGACGACGAGGCACUACGGUGCUGAAGCAACAAAUGCCCUGCUUCCAGGAAAAGCCUCUAAGCAUCAGGUAACAUCAAAUCGUACCCCAAACCGACACAGGUGGUCAGGUAGAGAAUACCAAGGCGCUUGAGAGAACUCGGGUGAAGGAACUAGGCAAAAUGGUGCCGUAACUUCGGGAGAAGGCACGCUGACACGUAGGUGAAGUGAUUUACUCAUGGAGCUGAAGUCAGUCGAAGAUACCAGCUGGCUGCAACUGUUUAUUAAAAACACAGCACUGUGCAAACACGAAAGUGGACGUAUACGGUGUGACGCCUGCCCGGUGCCGGAAGGUUAAUUGAUGGGGUCAGCGCAAGCGAAGCUCCUGAUCGAAGCCCCGGUAAACGGCGGCCGUAACUAUAACGGUCCUAAGGUAGCGAAAUUCCUUGUCGGGUAAGUUCCGACCUGCACGAAUGGCGUAAUGAUGGCCAGGCUGUCUCCACCCGAGACUCAGUGAAAUUGAACUCGCUGUGAAGAUGCAGUGUACCCGCGGCAAGACGGAAAGACCCCGUGAACCUUUACUAUAGCUUGACACUGAACAUUGAGCCUUGAUGUGUAGGAUAGGUGGGAGGCUUUGAAGUGUGGACGCCAGUCUGCAUGGAGCCGACCUUGAAAUACCACCCUUUAAUGUUUGAUGUUCUAACGUGGACCCGUUACCCGGGUUGCGGACAGUGUCUGGUGGGUAGUUUGACUGGGGCGGUCUCCUCCUAAAGAGUAACGGAGGAGCACGAAGGUUGGCUAAUCCUGGUCGGACAUCAGGAGGUUAGUGCAAUGGCAUAAGCCAGCUUGACUGCGAGCGUGACGGCGCGAGCAGGUGCGAAAGCAGGUCAUAGUGAUCCGGUGGUUCUGAAUGGAAGGGCCAUCGCUCAACGGAUAAAAGGUACUCCGGGGAUAACAGGCUGAUACCGCCCAAGAGUUCAUAUCGACGGCGGUGUUUGGCACCUCGAUGUCGGCUCAUCACAUCCUGGGGCUGAAGUAGGUCCCAAGGGUAUGGCUGUUCGCCAUUUAAAGUGGUACGCGAGCUGGGUUUAGAACGUCGUGAGACAGUUCGGUCCCUAUCUGCCGUGGGCGCUGGAGAACUGAGGGGGGCUGCUCCUAGUACGAGAGGACCGGAGUGGACGCAUCACUGGUGUUCGGGUUGUCAUGCCAAUGGCACUGCCCGGUAGCUAAAUGCGGAAGAGAUAAGUGCUGAAAGCAUCUAAGCACGAAACUUGCCCCGA